UAAGGGGGAGGAGAGACAAAUCUCUUAGUGUUGUUUCGUUUUGAAAGAACCGAGGUAGAACAAAUCUAAUGGCCGAGAUAUUGUUUCAGUCCUCAUUCUUUGUUUGAUGAUUUGAUUGUCGCUUGUUUCUUU
rfam:Populus trichocarpa isolate Nisqually-1 chromosome 15, whole genome shotgun sequence.